rnacentral:rRNA from 1 species
UGGGGAACUUAGACAAUGGGGGCAACCCUGAUCUAGCCUGCCGCGUGUGUGAUGAAGGCCCUAGGGUCGUAAAGCACUUUCGCCAGAGAUGAUAAUGACAGUAUCUGGUAAAGAAACCCCGGCUAACUCCGUGCCAGCAGCCGCGGUAAUA